rnacentral:ncRNA from 1 species
AGCCCGUGGGCGCGUGCGGGGUAUCGCGCGCCGAACCUCCCUGUUGGACCUGGCCGGGCUUUGUGCCCGGCCUUUUUU